rnacentral:rRNA from 1 species
AUACGGAGGAUGCAAGCGUUAUCCGGAUUUAUUGGGUUUAAAGGGUGCGUAGGCGGAUGAUUAAGCGUGAGGUGAAAUGCCACUGCUCAACAGUGGAACUGCCUCGCGAACUGGUUGUCUUGAAUGCUCCUGCCGUGGGAGGAAUGUGUGGUGUAGCGGUGAAAUGCAUAGAGAUCACACAGAACACCGAUUGCGAAGGCAUCUCACGAAGGGGUGAUUGACGCUGAGGCACGAAAGCGUGGGGAUCAAACAGGAUUAGAUACCCUGGUAGUCCACGCAGUAAACGAUGAUAACUAACCGCUGGGUCGUAGCGAUUCAGUGGCCAAGCGAAAGCGAUAAGUUAUCCACCUGGGGAGUACGACCGCAAGGUUGAAACUCAAAGGAAUUGGCGGGG